AGGUUUGUGCAGUGGCAGUAUCGUAGCCAAUGAGAUUUAUGCAAGGCACAAUUACUGCUAAUUGAAACUAUGA
rnacentral:snRNA from 1 species